UGGGAUGUGGCUCAAGUGGUAGUGCGCUCGCCUGGCAUACGUGCGGCCUGGGUUCGAUCCUCAGCACCCCAU
rnacentral:tRNA from 1 species